GACGAACCGUGCGAACGUUGUUCGGAAUCACUGGGCUUAAAGGGCGCGUAGGCGGGCCGCCGCGUCCGGGGUGAAAUCCUCCCGCUCAACGGGAGAACGGCCUCGGAUACGGGCGGUCUGGAGGCGGGUAGGGGCACGCGGAACUGUGGGUGGAGCGGUGAAAUGCGUUGAGAUCCACAGGAACUCCGGUGGCGAAGGCGGCGUGCUGGACCCGAUCUGACGCUGAGGCGCGAAAGCCAGGGGAGCGAACGGG
rnacentral:rRNA from 1 species